rnacentral:rRNA from 1 species
CCUACGGGAGGCUGCAGUGGGGAAUAUUGCGCAAUGGGCGAAAGCCUGACGCAGCGACGCCGCGUGCGGGAUGAAGGUCUUCGGAUCGUAAACCUCUGUCAGCAGGGAAGUAAGGUCACUGUGCUAAUCAGCAGUGAAUUGACGGUACCUGCAAAGGAAGCACCGGCUAACUCCGUGCCAGCAGCCGCGGUAAUACGGAGGGUGCGAGCGUUAAUCGGAAUUACUGGGCGUAAAGCGCUCGUAGGCGGUAUGUCAAGUCAAGGGUGAAAUCCCCGCGCUCAACGUGGGAACUGCCGUUGAAACUGGCAGACUGGAGUGUGUGAGGGGAUAGUGGAAUUCAAGGUGUAGGAGUGAAAUCCGUAGAUAUCUGGAGGAACAUCAGUGGCGAAGGCGACUAUCUGGCACAUAACUGACGCUGAGGAGCGAAAGCGUGGGUAGCAAACAGGAUUAGAUACCCCUGUAGUC